CAUUCUCCUGCCUCAGCCUUCCGAGUAGCUGGGACUAUAGGUGCCCGCCACCACGCCAGGCUAAUUUUUUGUAUUUUUAGUAGAGAUGGGGUUUCACCGUGUUAGCCAGGAUGGUCUCGAUCUUCUGACCUCGUGAUCCGCCCGCCUCGGCCUCCCAAAGUGCUAGGAUUACAGGCGUGAGCCACCGCGCCCGGCAGCAAAUUUUAAGUAUUGAUGGAUGGUUGGGUGACAUGGACUCCAGUAUGUGCCAUGAAGGAUACGAAGAUGAAGCUGUCAUGAACUCUGCUCUCGAGAAGCUACUGUCAAACCUUCUCAAUGUGAACACCACAAGGAUGAAGACCUUUAUAAUGAUCCAUCUCCACUUAAUUAAGAAUAAAUAUUUUUUCUCUUACUCAUGAUUUUAUUAAUGGUAUUUUCUUUUCUCUAGCUUACUUUAUUAUAAAAAUACAGUAUAUAAUACAUAUAGCACACAAAAUAUGUGUUGAUCGACUAUUUAUGUUAUUGAUAAGGCUUCCGGUCAAAAGUAGGCUAAUAGUAGCUACAUUUUUUGGCAAAUCAAAGGCUAAUUACUUGGAUCUGAUCACUAUACAUUAUGUAUAUCACAACAUCACUAUGUGCCCCAUAAAUAUGUACAAUUAUUGUGUUUAUUUAAAAUUUGGAAAAUAAAAAGUUACAAAACAUUUUUUUAAAAUUUAAAAUUUAAAAGUUCUAUGUGGAUUUUUGAGUGCAUGGGUAAGUUGUCACCCCUAACCCCCGUGGUUCCAGGAUCAACUGUAGUGUGUAUUCUUACUGACUCAAAAUUCUUUAUAUUUAUCUGCUUCUCCACCACUCGCCACUUCAAAUGAACAAUUAACUUGUCAAAGAUUAUUUUCCUCAAUACACAACUUCCUAUUUCUCACUCUCCCUCAUCUCCUCUUUCUUUCUUCUUGCCUCUUAUUAAAACCCAAAAGUUGAUAAGAAAGUGGAAUUAAAGAUAGAAUUUGUGUAUAAACAGACUUAACUGUAGUGUUCAUUCUUUUCCAUUUCCUAAAUUGUCCAAUUUCACCAGACAAUGACCUCAAUCUAGCCUAGAAUAAUAAAAACAAUUACCAGCUACUCUAUUGCAUGAAUAAGCCCUAGUUUUACUUUGCAAGCAUCCCAUUAAGUGUUUGCUGGAUUUUUCUAUUUUCCUUCUCUAUGUCAGAGUCAAGGCAAGCAUCACAAGCCAAGUAGCCACCCUGCUAACUGGAAGGUAAAAGAAGAGCCAGGGGAGGGAAACAGACUCAGAGACUAUCAAUUUUCCCUGAACUAGAACAACCUAUUCUUAUCAGAGAAGAUGAGCAUCACUUAACAUUUGACAAACCACUGUCCCCAGAGUGCAUUACCAUGGUAAUCCA
rnacentral:lncRNA from 10 species